rnacentral:rRNA from 1 species
GGCGAACGGGUGAGUAACGCGUAGACAACUUGCCCAGAGAUUUGGGAUAACAUCGAGAAAUUGAUGCUAAUACCGAAUAAUAUCACGGACACCCCGGUGUCUGUGAUCAAAAGUGGCUUCGGCUACCGUCUUUGGAUGGGUCUGCGUCUGAUUAGCUUGUUGGUGAGGUAAUGGCUCACCAAGGCGACGAUCAGUAGCUGGUCUGAGAGGAUGAUCAGCCACACUGGGACUGAGAUACGGCCCAGACUCC